UCUUGUGGAUGAGUAAAGAAAGUGGUUUCCUAAGAUGGAAUCUACUCCUAGUACAUAUGCUGUGAA
rnacentral:pre_miRNA from 1 species